rnacentral:rRNA from 1 species
GAUGAACGCUGGCGGCGUGCUUAACACAUGCAAGUCGAGCGAGAAGUUUUGAAAAGAUUCUUCGGAUGAAAUUUAAAAUGGAAAGCGGCGGACGGGUGAGUAACGCGUAGGCAACCUGCCCCAUACAAAGGGAUAGCAUUUGGAAACGAAUAUUAAUACCUUAUGAAACUUAACUAGUGCAUGCUAGGUAGGUCAAAGAUUUAUCGGUAUGGGAUGGGCCUGCGUCUGAUUAGCUAGUUGGUGAGGUAACGGCUCACCAAGGCGACGAUCAGUAGCCGACCUGAGAGGGUGAACGGCCACAUUGGAACUGAGCCACGGUCCAAACUCCUACGGGAGGCAGCAGUGGGGAAUAUUGCACAAUGGGGGAAACCCUGAUGCAGCAACGCCGCGUGAACGAUGAAGGCCUUUGGGUCGUAAAGUUCUGUUCUAGGUGAUGAAAACUGACAGUAACCUAGGAGAAAGCCCCGGCUAACUCCGUG